rnacentral:rRNA from 1 species
CAAUAGCGUAUAUUUAAGUUGUUGCAGUUAAAAAGCUCGUAGUUGGAUUUCGGUUGAGAACGGCCGGUCCGCCGUUUGGUGUGCACUGGCUGGUUUCAACUUCCUGUAGAGGACGCGCUCUGGCUUCACGGCUGGACGCGGAGUCUACGUGGUUACUUUGAAAAAAUUAGAGUGUUCAAAGCGGGCUUACGCUUGAAUAUAUUAGCAUGGAAUAACACCAUAGGACUCCUGUCCUAUUUCGUUGGUCUCGGGACGGGAGUAAUGAUUAAGAGGAACAGUUGGGGGCAUUCGUAUUUCAUUGUCAGAGGUGAAAUUCUUGGAUUUAUGAAAGACGAACUUCUGCGAAAGCAUUUGCCAAGGAUGUUUUCAUUGA